CAGGAAGGCUGUGGCUGUCCAAAGUCCUCCAGGGCGCCUUGGGGCUGUGCAGGCACAAGCCGACCUGGACAGCAAUGGAAACCCUAACUAAGACAAUCAUGGAUAAAGGCAAGCAUUAUCCAUUCUAUACACCAAGAAGAUAACUCAACAAAGUUAAGAAGUGGAGGAAAUAGGAGGUGUGGCGAGUCCAGGUUGGGAACUGUUCAGCAAGCAGCCAUCCAGACGACACAGGUGUGAACUCAGAGGCCGGAAGCAGCAUCAUACGCCACAGCCAGAAGGAUCAGAAGUUCCGGAGCAGGACAUUAUUGUGAGCCUGGCUGUGACCCUCUGCUCCAUCUCAAUGACACGGAUGGUAGAGCAUUGGGGAACCGUACAGACCCACAAUAGACGGUUGCCAGGUAACUAGCAGCUGGAGGGACUGCUGGGCACGAUCUUCAGAGCAUGGCAGAACCUAUGGUGUUGCAGCAGGGAAAGGACUCUUCAAUUGGUAGGAGCCACAGAGUCCAGAAUUCAGGAUUUGCUAAGGAAGGCCUUGGUGAAGGGAUGUGAUUUUCCAGUCUACACAGCUGCUACUCUAGAUCACACGAGCAAUUUUAAACCAUCCAAAAACACCAUCCAGAAAUACCAGAAACCGAUUCAUUGAGCUGUCAAAUAUGUCUAACAACCAGCACCCCCAAAAUAAUCCACAGAAGCACCAUAUAUGGUUUCUUUUCUGUGCACGCUCACUGCACAGCUGCUGGAGACAGGCAUUAGGCUGCACCAGUGAUAGCAGUAUUGUGGGAGCCUCCACUACCUUCUGGACUGUUCCCUGAAGUUAUGUCUUAGGCACCAAACUCCACUUUCACGCCUUGGGCUAUAGAGUUAAUGGGCUAGACCUUGGGCAGCACCGGCUUCUAGGCUUACAGCGCAGCAUUUUCUCUGACAAAUGACUGGCAGUGCUGUGUGGAUCCCUUCAGGUGUCAAACCGGAAGUCCUGCUCCUGCACGCAAGCUUGUCCCGCAUCCUUCUCCUGAAUCCGGAGCCACAGAGUCUUUGAUCGCCUCUUUCUGUUGCAAGCAUUAUCGUGUGUUCAUUUCUCAAUACCACGCAGAGGAGCUUAAAUACCAAAACACCGCCUCAGUUGUCUUGUUCCUGGUCUUGUUUGCAGAACUGAAGACAAUGUCAAGUCAUAGCUCUUACCCAAUAAAAGUUCAGGGUGCAAAUUAUAUUACCCCUGAGUCUUGUAA